rnacentral:tRNA from 1 species
AGAGGUGUAGCUCAGUUGGUAGAGCAACGGUCUCCAAAACCGUAUGUCGUGAGUUCGAUUCUCUCCACCUCUG